rnacentral:lncRNA from 1 species
AGGGAGAGAGAGAGAGAGAGAGAGGCGAGCGGAAUUCCUGAAUGGACAGACAGAUGCUACGUCACCGGAGCUGCAUCUCCCCUCCUGCCCCCCCACCCCGCCCCGCCUCAGGAGGCAGGAGCUGGAGAGAGGCAGUCCAUCGGCAGGGGCCACCAAGCCGGCUCUCCUCCUCACAGAAGCCAGGGCCGGGCAUCCAAGAAGCAGCAGGCAGCCCCGGUUCUGGUGUCAUCGUGGGUGGCCACCUUGGCUUUUAGGGUAUUUAUUUUCUUAUUUGUUUGUUUUCAAUGGGGGGGGGCGGGAGGAGCUGGCCCUGCACCACCUCUGUGUUCCCCUAUUCUCCCCACCUUGCCUCCUCUAGUUGUGGGGCCAGGCCUGUACUCCCCUCUGAUGGUAGUAAGACCUGUGGAGUCAUUGAUGAUGGGAAUGGAAGACCCCAGUUCUGUGAGAGGGAGGAGAGGCACUGGGGAGUCAGGGACUCUUCCUCUUCUCUCAGAGCUUCCUGGGGGCGUGGGCAGCCCUUUGACCCUGGGGUGGGGAUGCAGAUGUCUGUACCUGGGUGACAGAGGUGAGAAAGGAGAGCAGUGUGGGUUGUAGUGAGUGGAGGUCUGGGAAGCAUGCACACCGCAAAGGUAUGUGCGGACCCUGCCCCUGGAAGCUUCAGAGGCUCUUGCUGGGAGUGCCAUGGAAAUGUGGUGGCAUUUGUCUUAGUACAUAGGUUUGUGUUUGCACGUGUGUGUGUGUGUGUGUGUGUGUGUGUGCACCCUUACACGCUCAUGCUUUUGUCCCUCAAGGAGACCACUCACUGGUGGUGGACCUUCUACAGUCUCUGUCACCUCGUCCUUACCUCCCUGACUCCAUAGGGCUUUGAGGCCUGCGCUCAGCUCAGUUAUGGGUUUAAGAACUGAGGGCAGGCAGGGAGGCAGUGCUUAGAGAGGCCUGAGGAAUUCUCAGGCUGGCCUCUCAGCAGGAGAAAAACACUCUCAUGGGGAGGGAAGGGUGACACCCCCAGGGACAAAAUCUUCCAAGUUGUCCCCAUGCCCUCUAACCUCCUCUGUCCAUAUGGAGAUAGAUUUUUUUUUCACAGCUUCAGCAUUUUUUUAAUUUCCCGUUCUUGCUUUUAUGUGUCACCAUCCCACAGACAAUGCAAAUAUUCUAUAGCCAAAGAAUAAUGUGUGAUAAUGUUCAUAAAAAUGAUGCAUUUAUAAGGCAAAAAUAAAUACCUGAACCUACCCUCCUCCACAUGCAGCUUUCAUCUGUGUCUUCAAGGCAAAUUAAUCUGAUAAUUGAAACAAAGAAAAAUUAUGCUUUUUAUUUAAUUACCUGAAUGUUUCAAGAGAGUGGCUUAAUGCCAAAAUGUAUUUUGGACCCAAAUUAUAAAAAGCUGUCCAAAAGCUGCGUCCUGAGAGCAUAAUUCAGGCCAUGUUUUUCCGUACAUAGGGCUCUUCAGGCACAGACAAUGGGUGCGCACCAGGACUGUAGGGAUGGGGGUGGGGACAGGCACAGGCAAAGAAUGCAGGCUGUAAGCUGAUGGAGACACUUACAAGCUCACAUCAAUGCCAGGGACUUGGGGGGCUCUCCCCACAGUACCUCAGAAUUUCCCUGGAAGAACUCCGGUGGGAUCUGCAGGCCACAGCUCUGUAGAACCUCCACCUCAACAGAGAGUGCUGUGGGCUCCAGCGGAGGCCUUCCUGGGGAGACUGAGGCUGGCAGGCCAAGCAGGAGGGGGACAAAAUGCACCCAUUUUGCUCCAGCUGGCAGCCUCUCUCAGGCCUGCUGUAUCCAGUUCUAGAUAGUAGAAAGGUCUCUGGUGGUCAAAGGACCUGCCGAAUAGUCACUAAAACACAACAUGGUCGCCCUGCCUCUCCCCCCCCCCCACCCACGCAGAUCCCAUGCUGGACAUGCUUUGUCAACACCCUCCCUUUCCACUUAUAGGACACUAGGUCCACAGGAGGGCACACACACAUCCCCUUGUUAACUCACUCUUUCCUGGGCACUGCUUUAGGUGUAGCAUUAGACCCUCUAGACCGAGUCUGUAUGACGCUGCUCUGCCCUGGAGGGCUGUCUCAUUUGCUUCCCUCCACGUAGUGUCCUUUUGGAAACCAACUGUAACAUGGUUUCCUAUACAAAGCAAGCCCAGUGAACAUGAUGGUGGGGAGUUUGCUUCUUUCAGGGCUUAUAGCUCCAUCCCUGUUGGAAUGGAGACAGAGACCCUACUCCCCUGUGAGCAGGAACCCUGGAGGGUCAGGUUGUCAAGUCCAGACAAAACCAAACCAGACAAAAAAUUGCUUUAUCAGGAACCUGGCCGGAGAGGGUGAUUCCAAUCUAAACUAAUCUCCAUUUUCUUCUGUGGGGGCCACUGCUUAGGCCAAGAUUCUUCUGCAGAACCCAAAACCACAGCAAGAGGUGGAGGAUCUAGCUCCUUAUCUAGGUAUUUGGGAGGAAUUUGGAAAUGUACCCAUUUCUUUCCAGAUCUCAGUUUUUUAGAAGGUCCAGCAGAGUCUGAUUUUGGCCAAUAGGGGUGGAGAAGAGAGUGUCUCCAUGGGGCAAAGAAGCCUUUUUGAGUCUAACCCCCACCUCAUCCCCAGCAAAAAUACAGCUGUGGCUGAAAGAGGAGGGAUUACGCUGGUCCUGCUGCCUCUUGCUGUGCUCACUGGGUAACUCCAGAGUAAGGGAUUGUGGAGAUAAACUGGGGCCCAUGAGGACAGGGGACCUGGUUGGAAUUGGUGACAGAAAAAAGAGGAUGGUUUUGGCUAACAGGAUGGUCAGCUCUUUCUCACAUGCUGGCCCCAGCCUCACAGGCACUGGGUGAGGGGAGAAGGAAGGGAAGAAAGCAUGCUUUAGGUGCUUUUAAGGGAUCUUGUGGGGGACAAAUUGGAGAAUAUUUGUAGGGGAAGUGGGUGGUAUAUGUGAAGUGUUGGCACAAUCUAGGGUGGCUGGAAUAUCUAGAGAGUAUUGGGGUGUGAGGUCAUGUACCUGGAAUUAUUUGAGGAGGUUUGUAGGCAGGAAGCUGAAAGACUGAAGGAGCCUAUAGUUUCUCCAGGGCCUGGUAUGGAGGAUGCCUUAGGGAAUGCAUUUGGCAGCAUACCAGUAGGGUAGGUCUAGCUGUGAGAGUGUUGGGGGAGAAUUCUAGUUUUCUGCUACUACUAAGGCAACAGAGGCCCCAGUGCUCCCCCAGUGCUCCAUUCUGAGCUGUAGGAGCACCUGGGAGAGGGAGGGAAGGAAGUAGGCAGUGGACACUUUGUCUCUUUCUUUCUCCACUUCUGCCUGACAUGCUCCUAGUUCUGAGAGGGUAAAGAAUUGAUGCUGUGGAACCUUCUAGAAAGACUUUCCCUUGGGCUUUCCUUGGGUCCUGAGACCCUCUGGAGGCUGACAGAGGUGGAAAAACUGUGCCAAGCACAGCCCUGAGAAUGCCCUGAGCCUUGGGAAAGCCAGGCUGUUUGCUUCAGCUCCAUACUCUUCUCUUGGGAGAUGUAGGCCCUGGGGCUUUAUCCUACUUCCAAGUGUGCCCCACCUCACAAUCCUGUAGACACUAUUCAGACAUUCUCCCAUCUUUAAGGGAAUGUGAUUAACGAAGCCAUUGGCCAUGGGCUUACAUCUAACCAAGGGGAAUAGCAUCCAGGCUCGGCUUUGUCUUAGACACUGCAGAGAGGUGACAUGCUGGAGUGUAUAGAACGGUCUGGCUGGGGGCGCCUGAGUGGCUCAGGUCAUGAUCUCAGAGACCUGGGAUAGAGUCCCACGUUGGGCUCCCUGCUCAGCAGGGUCUGCUUCUCCCUCUCCCUCUCUGCUGGCUCUCUCUCAAAUAAAUAAAAUUUUAAAAAUUUAUUUAAAGAACAGUCUGGCUGGGCCCGCUGGAGGCACGGGGAGCGCACCUCUGUUGGUACUGUGUUCAAGGAUCCCAGGUGAUAGGAAUCUGCUGGUAUUAAGCAGGUACACGGGCUCUAGGUAUCUAAGCCAUAGGAUUUUUCAGAAAAGGGGUUGAGAGUAUGGCGAUUGGAGGGGUGCGGAAACUGGAGACCCGGACCGCUCCCAGGCAGGCACUGCGGCUCACCAGGGCCUCACCGCUCCUUCUCAUUCUCGGAAAGCUCCACCAGGCAGCGAGAAUCCGGAUCCCGCUUGCAGGGCCGUGCGUGCUCCCGGGUUGGGACGCGGCAUAACUGGACUCUGAUUGUCUGGGCAGGUGGGGAGCCAGGUCAGGAAAGCCUGGAACUGAAAACCUUGCUGAGGGUGAUGCUUCUCCCUAUCACCUCAGCUCUCCAGAUGCCCGGAGGUGGAGAGGGGCCUGGCGGCUCACGGGCCGGGGAAAGGGAGAGAAGGCGCUAGCGC